rnacentral:rRNA from 1 species
AUUGAACGCUGGCGGCAUGCCUUACACAUGCAAGUCGAACGGCAGCGCGGGAGCAAUCCUGGCGGCGAGUGGCGAACGGGUGAGUAAUAUAUCGGAACGUGCCCAGUAGUGGGGGAUAGCCCGGCGAAAGCCGGAUUAAUACCGCAUGAGACCUGAGGGUGAAAGCGGGGGAUCGCAAGACCUCGCGCUAUUGGAUGAGCCGAAGUCGGAUUAGCUAGUUGGUAGGGUAACGGCCUACCAAGGCGACGAUCCGUAGCUGGUCUGAGAGGACGACCAGCCACACUGGGACUGAGACACGGCCCAGACUCCUACGGGAGGCAGCAGUGGGGAAUAUUGGACAAUGGGGGCAACCCUGAUCCAGCGACGCCGCGUGUGUGAAGAAGGCCUGCGGGUUGUAAAGCACUUUUAGUGGGGAGGAAAUGCUCAGACCUAACACGUCUGGGAGCUGACUUAACCCAAGAAAAAGCACCGGCUAACUCUGUGCCAGCAGCC